CUGAGGCGCUCUAGCCUGCGCCCUGAGAGCGGAGCGCAGAGCCGGCGCCGGGCGGAAGACCUGGGAUCCUCGGCCCUUCCUCGGGCAGCCUUCCAGACUGCUGGAGUCGCGAGCAGCGCUGGAACUAGCGUCUCGUCCCCUUCACUUUCCUGCCUCCUGUUUUUCACAUCUGUCCGCGGGCUGCAACGCCUGAGUCUCGGAAAGGAGGGCGCUGCUUUAGGACCGGACCCUGGAGUGGCAGAGGAGGGACGGGAGUGUGUGUCUUCUGCCUCAGUGCCUGCUUCUUUACAUUGGAGCAGUCUAGUUCAAUUCUUCAGGACUGUCAUUAAAUCCUUUCUGAAGGUUUAAACUAACCUAAGAAAUGCCUGCUGGAUCAGUUGGAUUGCUUGGUCUAGCUGUUUGACUGCUCUUUCAAAUAAACACUUUAAGGUACCUCUGCCCACAAAUCUGCUCUUGAGGGGCCAUCUACAGCAACACCGAGUCUGCGGAUGGUGGUGCCAAGGGUCUGACAGUGAUAGUGGCUGUGGAUUGAGGCAUCCUAACUCGGUUAGAAUGAUGUGAACUUGGCUGAAUUUCCGGCUACCAGCUUCUCUGAUGGCUCUGCAGCUGGUCAUCUUUCCAAUAAAUUACUUUCCUAAUUAAAUUGACAGUACUUAGUUUCUGGUGCUGGUAGAUAAUAACCUUACUUGGUGAAUAAAGGUUAAGUAAAUUAUCCAAGAUCAUAGUGCAAAUAAAUGGGAGAGCAAAAAUUUUCUUCUAGGUGUCUUGGAUUUCAUAACUUGUACCCAUAAUAUCUAUAUUUUGCAUUCCAAACUACAUCUCAAAUUCACAUAACUCUUAAUCCUC